AAAAUAAUAAUAAUAAUAAUAAUAAAAUCCGGCCUGAAAAUCACUGACGCGUGACGUGAAUUCAAAUUACAGAUCUGCGAAAAGAAAAAAAAUGAGAUAAAACGAUAUUGACGAGUGACACAAUUUAGCUCAAAGUAAGUCACCUUUUGUUAUUCGUGCCGUUUCAUAUUUUCUGCUGUUUCCAGGGAGAAAACAGAAGGUAAAUGAUACAAUAAAAUAAUUUAUUUACCUUUACGUUGGCUUGUAUCUUGGCUAUACAAUGUAAAAGCCUAGAUUUACAUUGUAAAUCUCAUAUUGAAUGAAGUCUUUCAAUAUGAGAAAUAUUGAAAAAUCGGUAAGUCGAUGCAAUUGUUUCUUUAGGUCACAUGUUUCUUUACUAGCUGGCUUUAUAAACCUACCUUGACCGUGUUGUAGCCUCUUUUAUCUAGCACUGGAUUUAAAUGUCCAGUGAACUCUAAUGGAUUCACCCCAACUUUCCAAAGGAGGAGGGUGGGAAAAACAAAAUUCAGCCUUUAAAUGUGCAAAGCAGGUUCAGACGGCAGUCAGUUUUAAGGACCGCGUGUAUGUGGGGGAAACAAAAAUGUUCAGGAAAGCAUUUCAUGGUGGUUCAAAAAUGCGACUUGUUUUGUUUCUUACAGGCCUUGAACGCCUCGAGUCGCUAUUAAUAGCUUCAUUUUCCCGAGGCCCCCGAGGUAGAGGGAGAAGAUGGAAAGAUUGACUGGGGGAGAGAGGGAGGAAAACGGCGCUAAUAUCUCUGUCAAUCAAAGAUGGCCGACGGAGAGAGAGAGAAACAUUUACACAACCUAAUGUGGAGCGUUAAAAAUGCUUCGAAUGACAGUUUUCAAGAGUAACAGACUAUUUAAAACUCUCUUGAAAAGACUUCAGUUUAGGUUUUUACGUGAAAUCUCUCUCUCUUCUUCGUCUCUCCGUUCGACGUCCUUGAUUACAAUCAGUUUCCACUGGUGGAGACUGAAGUCAUUUAGAGCUCCGGUCUCGUUGCGGUGACAUAUGGCGUCCUUUGAAGGCUCCAUCUGUUUCCGUGAGUACCUGCUUGUUCUUCGUUGGACGACUUAUCAAGUCGUCAAGGCGACUGAGACUAAAAUGGAAUUCUUGAUUAACUGCUCAACAGGAAACACGUCACGACCUACAAACUACUUCUCUCUCUAAAAGAUCAAGUGGGGAUAGUUACAAGACAGAAGUUGUUGUCUGGGACAUGUCGGGUGAUUUAAUUGUGUCACCUUUUUGAUGCACAAACACACACUUGGAAACAUGAAUUCUCUCUGGAUCGCCCCAAGAAAGCUUUGUCUCAAUCAGAACUACACACCAAGGCCACUUGCUCCUUUAAUCUGCUGUUAUCUGUUAUGCAUGGCAGCUGUUUCAGUAUGCCUCAGUGUGCUUCUGCCUCAGAAAGCGAUGUAUUAUGCACUGAGAUGCACGAGGCUCUGCAUGUCUGCAGAGGUGGUCAUAGGUCAGUGGGGAAUCUGGUGGAUUCCUGAUGCAUACUCCAAGAAACUACCACGGUGUUCGCCGAAGGUGUGUGUGUCUGUGUAUGCAGGGUCUGUGAGCGGACGGGAGAGUGUAAAUGUAUGCGUGCUGAUGUGUUGGCCGAAAGCUGACCAAUGCGUGGUGAAAGGGUCGACCUCGUCGCAGGGAGUUAGAGAGGAAUCCUGACGAAGGCGUGACCUCGCCGCCGAUCCGCUGGCUCCAAAAACGGACGAAUACU